CACCUCUCAGGGUUGCACCUGGAGAGUUUCCAGUACUCUCUGAGUCUCAACUAUGGGAGGGAGAGUCAAGCAGAGGCAUAUCUAUUCUGUUUCUAGCUUGGGUAGUGGCUAGUGAGUGGAAGGCAAUCUGCUACAAGU